rnacentral:lncRNA from 1 species
AGGGAGUUUUUUUGGGGGAACUGUGAAGUGACCUAGCCCUAAAACAUGAAUUUUGGCUUUUCCACCAUGGGCUACCCAAGUAACGUAAUGGACCCAACUGUCCAAAAAUCUCUCCCUUGGACUUUUCUGUCUGAUCAACCCAUAUUACCUCAUACCUCAACAUCCAUUUCCCAGUUUUUCGUGGCAUAACUCUCUUUCACGAUGAUGUAACAGACUC